UACGUAGGGUGCAAGCGUUGUCCGGAAUUAUUGGGCGUAAAGAGCUCGUAGGUGGCCAACUAAGUCAGACGUGAAAUCCCUCGGCUUAACCGGGGAACUGCGUCUGAUACUGGAUGGCUUGAGUUUGGGAGAGGGAUGCGGAAUUCCAGGUGUAGCGGUGAAAUGCGUAGAUAUCGGGAGGAACACCAGUGGCGAAGGCGGUUGCCUGGAGCUUUGCUGACGCUGAGGCGCGAAAGCGUGGGGAGCGAUCCGG
rnacentral:rRNA from 1 species